rnacentral:sRNA from 1 species
AAGGUUCGACUCGAGCGAAGCGAGAGAACGUUGCCGCUGGCAAUGGCCCGAAGGCGAGGCGCUUUAGCGCCGAGUAAUCCUUCCCCCACCACUG